rnacentral:rRNA from 1 species
UGCAAGUCGACGGUGUCUUCGGACACAGUGGCGGACGGGUGAGUAACGCGUGAGAAUCUGCCUUCAGGUCUGGGACAACCACUGGAAACGGUGGCUAAUACCGGAUGUGCCGAGAGGUGAAAGGUUAACUGCCUGAAGAUGAGCUCGCGUCUGAUUAGCUAGUUGGUAGAGUAAGAGCCUACCAAGGCGACGAUCAGUAGCUGGUCUGAGAGGAUGAUCAGCCACACUGGGACUGAGACACGGCCCAGACUCCUACGGGAGGCAGCAGUGGGGAAUUUUCCGCAAUGGGCGAAAGCCUGACGGAGCAAUACCGCGUGAGGGAGGAAGGCUCUUGGGUCGUAAACCUCUUUUCUCAGGGAAGAACAAAAUGACGGUACCUGAGGAAUAAGCAUCGGCUAACUCCGUGCCAGCAGCCGCGGUAAUACGGAGGAUGCAAGCGUUAUCCGGAAUGAUUGGGCGUAAAGCGUCCGCAGGUGGCUAUGUAAGUCUGCUGUUAAAGCGUCUAGCUCAACUAGAUAAAAGCAGUGGAAACUACAAGGCUAGAGUACGUUCGGGGCAGAGGGAAUUCCUGGUGUAGCGGUGAAAUGCGUAGAGAUCAGGAAGAACACCGGUGGCGAAGGCGCUCUGCUAGGCCGUAACUGACACUGAGGGACGAAAGCUAGGGGAGCGAAUGGGAUUAGAUACCCCAGUAGUCCUAGCCGUAAACGAUGGAUACUAGGCGUGGCUUGUAUCGACCCGAGCCGUGCCGUAGCUAACGCGUUAAGUAUCCCGCCUGGGGAGUACGCACGCAAGUGUGAAAC